rnacentral:rRNA from 1 species
GACAGAGGGUGCAAACGUUGUUCGGAAUUACUGGGCGUAAAGCGCGUGUAGGCGGCUAAGUAAGUCGGGCGUGAAAUCCCACGGCUCAACCGUGGAAGUGCACUCGAAACUGCAUAGCUAGAGUCCUGGAGAGGAAGGUGGAAUGCUUGGUGUAGAGGUGAAAUUCGUAGAUAUCAAGCGGAACACCGGUGGCGAAGGCGGCCUUCUGGACAGUGACU